UACGUAGGGGGCAAGCGUUAUCCGGAUUUACUGGGUGUAAAGGGAGCGUAGACGGCACUGCAAGUCCGGAGUGAAAGCCCAUGGCUCAACCGUGGGACUGCUCUGGAAACUGUGGAGCUUGAGUGCGGGAGGGGCAGGCGGAAUUCCUGGUGUAGCGGUGAAAUGCGUAGAUAUCAGGAGGAACACCGGCGGCGAAGGCGGCCUGCUGGACCGUAACUGACGUUGAGGCUCGAAAGCGUGGGGAGCAAACA
rnacentral:rRNA from 1 species